AUACCGCAUACGUCCUACGGGAGAAAGCAGGGGACCUUCGGGCCUUGCGCUAUCAGAUGAGCCUAGGUCGGAUUAGCUAGUUGGUGAGGUAAUGGCUCACCAAGGCGAGGAUCCGUAACUGGUCUGAGAGGAUGAUCAGUCACACUGGAACUGAGACACGGUCCAGCCUCCUACGGGAGGCAGCAGUGGGGAAUAUUGGACAAUGGGCGAAAGCCGGAUCCAAAAGUGCCGCGUGUGUGAAGAAGGUCUUCGGAU
rnacentral:rRNA from 1 species